UAAGAUUUCGUGCUACACGUUGUGAUAACAAAGAUACUAGUCAGUAUGUAUAUUUACAAGAUGUUUAUCAUUUCCUCAAACUAAUGGACACUAACUUAUGUUACAAACUGAGAGAAUCUACUGGAAUUUAUUAAUUUUGUAAAUUAGGAUGCCAAUAAAAAUUGAUUAACCUAAAAUGUGUAAACUACAAUGUAUACAUGUACGUACUCUAAAGGGUGAUUUCUGAUAAAAAAUUUACGGAUUUGUCGAAGAUAAUUUAUGCAGAAUCACAAGAACUUUUCAAUCUAUCUUGGCUUUUUGUGCAUGGACUGUUUUUGGAAGUGUUCACAUGCUAGUUCAACAACAUAAAGGAUUCAGAUUGAUUGGUUACGGAGGCGCUGUGCAAUGCGCAUUUCAGAAGAGGUCAAUAACGUCAUUGACGUGCGGCGAUCUUUGUUACCAUGCCGUCUGUGAAUGCCGAUAUCUCUGAUCUUCCUCCAUCAUCUUUGUAAUAACAGCGGCUAUGUAACAUUAGUUCGUCAUAUCAACAAUUUAUCUUGUAUUUCAUCAGCCACUUUUCAUAGGAAUCAGACCCCAGAAACUCAGACAAGAAAUGAUAUUUUGAAAUUUAAAGUAAAUUAAAGACAAAAUUCACAGCGCAUUCUGUUCCUUAAUACUGCUGUGUACCCGACAGUCAAGUUUCCGUAUGUCAUGCACGUGUACGUAAUGUUUAAAGUAACCCAAAAGUCGAAUCUUUUCAUUUUCAUC